GCAAUUUUAGUUUAUUGAAAAUGAAGGUUUGUCUCACCUUUGAUGACUUUAUGUCAAGUUGCU
rnacentral:tRNA from 1 species